rnacentral:lncRNA from 1 species
AUUUGACAGACUCUUGUGUUGCUUCAGUACCUCUCAUGGCACUUACUAGCUCAUCAGCCUGACUUGCCUUUCCUGGGUUUGACAGCAACAAGUCUCAAGACAAGACAACAAAUCCAGAAACCUAGAUUCUGAGGUACAUCUUAGGUGAAUCAUCAAGAUUGCCAUGUUCUUCAAUUUCAGCAUUGCAAGGCGAAGACACUAUCAGAGAGCAUAUUGAAAUCCUGUGAUAAAAGAUAUGGCUGAGAGGUACUGUAGCUAUAAAGAGCUCCUAACCAUCUCUACAUAAUCCCAUUAAUUAUCAUGUAACACCAUGCAAGGCAAAGAUAAUUGGCUUUAAAGUGAUCUUGAAUGAACUGCAGGGAGACAAACUGCUCUUCUGAAGAGGAUUCAAAGAGCUGCAGGUUGGCGGUGCAGCUAGCAAAAGUUCUAGUUAGUCUGUGAAGGAAUAGAUGGUCGAAGGAUGUCAGAAUACACAC